AUUGAACGCUGGCGGCAGGCCUAACACAUGCAAGUCGAACGGUAACAGGAAACAGCUUGCUGUUUCGCUGACGAGUGGCGGACGGGUGAGUAAUGUCUGGGAAACUGCCUGAUGGAGGGGGAUAACUACUGGAAACGGUAGCUAAUACCGCAUAACGUCGCAAGACCAAAGAGGGGGGCACCCGGGCCUCUUGCCAUAGGCUGGGCCCAGAUGGGAUUAGCUUGUUGGUGGGGUAAAGGCUCACCAAGGCGACGAUCCCUAGCUGGUCUGAGAGGAUGACCAGCCACACUGGAACUGAGACACGGUCCAGACUCCUACGGGAGGCAGCAGUGGGGAAUAUUGCACAAUGGGCGCAAGCCUGAUGCAGCCAUGCCGCGUGUAUGAAGAAGGCCUUCGGGUUGUAAAGUACUUUCAGCGGGGAGGAAGGGAAUAAAGUUAAUACCUUUGCUCAUUGACGUUACCCGCAGAAGAAGCACCGGCUAACUCCGUG
rnacentral:rRNA from 1 species